GAUGGCCUCGUCGACACAGAUGAUGAAUGAUGACGAUAAUAAUGACAGCAUCGUUGAUCUGACGAAUGAUACUGUGUUGCAGGAUGAUGAAGAUGAAAAUCAAUCGGGCAGUGGAUUGGAUGCAACUGGUGCCAACAACAAUCCCGUUGAAAACGAGUUAUCAGAUUCCG